UCUGCUUGUGUGCGUGAUUAGUUAAUACAACAGCACCUGACACAGCACCAUUCGUGCGAUGUUCAGUCGCGUCGCACGAGUCCGAGCGGCGGGUGCAUGUCGCUACUUGUUUUGACUGUGCGGCGAGUAAAAACACUUUUUUGGAGGAUUUUUACGAAGUUUACCGUUUUAAAUCGAUGUGCACCAAGUUAAAAUGGUACGAAAUUAUAAAAGAAAGACAGAUCGGGCAACAUGGGAAGAAGAUGAUAUGAGAAGAGCCGUUAGAGCGGUGCUUUCUGAGACGAUGGGAUUUCUUCGAGCCUCGGCUACAUAUAACCUUGCAUAUAUUGUGGGUACUUAUAUUCACAGUCCACUGAAGGAUGGGUUAUUUGUAGCGUGUGCUUUGGCUGGGCCCAUAAUUCCUGCGCAGGCGUAGACGAUGACGAUGAAGAGGCACAUAUAUGUGAACGUUGCCAACCAGAUUAAAAGUGUACUCAUUAUGCCCCAUGGCGUUUCCCAUUUUGCCCCGUUCACGGGGCAAGACGGGAAUUUUGACAUGUGCCAUUUAUUUCUCAAUUGCCAAAAAAGUAUGUGAUUUAGCGCCAAAAAAGAUUUUAAUUAUGUUAAUUAUAAAUGUAAGUGUUGUUAUACUUGAAAGAGAUUUUUAAUAAACAGUAUUAUUCUCAU